GUAAAUCGUAGCGUUUUUCGACAUUUUCAAAUGAAAUUCGUUUGGAUAGGUGCACUAAAGCAUUCGAAAGUAAAUUAUUCAUUGACCUGACUUAACCGUCGCAAACUACCUUCGUACUAGUCGAGUGAUAUCAUUAACGUUUUCAAUAACGAUUGAACAAGUUUGUCCGAGAAAUAAAAAUAAAAACCGAAGCGCAUCGACUCCACCAUCGAAAUCGCUACUGUAUCGCGCGUGUGUGUAUACAGAGGACUUAUUACCGAGAACGAAUCUCGGUUUCACUUUCGUCGGCACGUCGAGUUGAGAACUCUCGACGAUACAGUUCAGAUUUAGAAUCCGAUGUUAAUGCCCUUCCGUACCCCCGCGAUUCUGGCUCGAAGCUCGGUUGGCCUGAUGCACCAUCGUUCAUACUAGUUAAAACGUUUAUUUAUCGUUGUCCACUGGCAGCGAUCCGUGCGAUGAAAUUUUACGGUAAUUUACGCGUUAACUCAUACGUUUACCAUUGGAGAAAUGUUGAACGCUACACGACGAAUGACACGCACGAGAAAUGAUGUAACCGUUCGAGUACUAUCGACGCAUAUAUGUCUUCGAAGAAAGCUGUCUGCGUGGACUAUCGUAUACGUAUACAUUUCGGCUUGAGACAUCAGUCAAGUUUAAAUAUAUGAAUUCGUUAAUUUUUAAGAUAUGUUUUACAUUUUAAUUUUGUUAUUAAAAUAAUCAUCGUCCACGCGGAUCGUUUUGAUCAUAAGAGUAUUCAGCACUCAAAGGGUUAUCCCGCGAAUAUCGUUGAAAUAAAAAUUUUAUUCGUUUCUGGUCUUCAGACUGAGAUUGGCAGCUGGACGAAACUCGCGUCGCGUUUUUUUUUUUUUUUCAGAAUCAGCUGGACACUCGACAGAUUUCUAUUUUUCGUUCGUCGAGUCGGUUCCCUCUGGAGAAUCCUUCCUCUAUUUUUGCCGAUCCGAUUCCUGCGAUCGAAUCGUCACGCGAUACGCUAACUCGGUUCCGUAGCUAUACAUAGCCACCCGCUGGCUGCCCUCGAUUGAAUCGAUGCACAAAUAAACUCUGAGAACGCGGCGUGUAGAAGCGGAGAUAACUUAUCCGGCACGCUCGUUCCUCGCUCUAUUUUAAUUUUUUUUUUCUUUUUUUUUUUGCGUUCACCGGGAAUUUUACUCUCAUAGGCUGUAAACCAGACUUUCUUAACGUUUGAGUUUGGGGUGAAUAUGUAAUUUCUUCCGAAGACAUU